rnacentral:lncRNA from 1 species
CGUUUAUAAAAAAAAUAAAAUAAACUAAUAACAAUAUGAACAUUUUCAAAUGUAGCUUAAUUAUUUAGAUAUGGUUUUCGUGAACUCUGAUCUGAUGUAAAGACACGUUACUUCAUGUCGUACCAUACGAACCAAAGUCUCGAUAAUUGCCACACACAUUAUUUGGAUCCCGACCGUCAAAACUCAAAAGCAUUGGUUAGUUGAUGAUGUCUUUCUCCAAACCCAUUCAUAUCUAGUAUGAAAAGUAGUUCCUUAUGUAUCUGUACGUUUUCAAAACAUAAAUCAUGAUUAUGCGCGUAAUCAAGUAAUCAAUGUACGCAAAACAAAGAGUAAAUGGCUAAACCAAAUGAAACAAAGCACUCUUAUGGCAUCCACGGACCGUUG